GAAUAUGAAACUGUUUUAGGCCCGAUAGGCUACAAUUUUUUUUAUUAUAGAGAGAAACACUCCCUCAAAACAUGUGCUCCCUAAACGACAGAACCUGAAUGAGUGGACAGUUUUCCUGUCAUUUGGUUGUGUAUCCCAUUGCCGUACUUCCCCGAGACUGCCAUGACAGGAAGAUCAAAUUCUCUCUCUAAACAACUCACAUCGAUCGAAUCAGCUAGGUCAAUCUUAUUUGCCACAAUGGCUGCUGGCCUAGAUGACAGCCCUUUCUUGUAGAGUUCAAGUUCUCUUUGUAGCGAUAUGAACUGGCUGUGGAAGUCCUUCUGAGAGAUGUCUAGCACAUACAGUAAAGAGCAACAGCGCUCAAUAUGUCUCAAGAAUGUGUGGCCAAGGCCUUUGUUUAGGUGAGCAUCUGGUAUGAGUCCUGGGAUAUCUGCAACUACAAUACAAUGAUAAAAACGGUUUAAGGCUUUUACUUGAUUGUCAAAAAGACAGCUGUCUAAAAUGCAGUGCAGUAACAGCACAGAAUUGCACUGAUUGCACAGCACUGAUGCUACAUUCCAAUUGCUUAACAAAGGUCUCUGAAGGAAUAAGGUGGAGAUAAAAAAGUAUACCUCGAACCGAUUAUAAAAUCACUGUCCAAUGGAGGGGCCUUGGCUAUUUUCAAGCGCAUUCCCCAAAUAAUUGCCUCAGCUAAAUGGAAAAACUUGAAUGACCCCCCCUCCUCCAAAUACGUGCCCACCUAACUGUGCUACACUCAACAGACUUUGAUGACAAGGGGGGGGGGCUGCACAUUAGAAAGGUAUCAAUGAUAACUGAGAAUACUACCUGCUGCAACAGAAACAGAUUUUGUAAUAAGGGCCUCUCCAGAAUAAGCACCUCUUCUGGGACAUGAACAAUUAAAGAAUCGCCGAUGGACUUUUCCAAGCAAUUACAGUAUCUUUCAAUAGGGAUUUCUGGUAAAUAAAAAGUUUUCACAUUCA